AUUGAACGCUGGCGGAAUGCUUUACACAUGCAAGUCGAGCGGCAGCGCGGGGCAACCUGGCGGCGAGCGGCGAACGGGUGAGUAAUGUAUCGGAACGUGUCCUGUCGUGGGGGAUAGCCCGGUGAAAACCGGAUUAAUACCGCAUACGAUCGAGAGAUGAAAGUGGGGGACCGCAAGGCCUCACGCGAUAGGAGCGGCCGAUAUCUGAUUAGCUAGUUGGUGGGGUAAAGGCCCACCAAGGCUUCGAUCAGUAGCUGGUCUGAGAGGAUGAUCAGCCACACUGGGACUGAGACACGGCCCAGACUCCUACGGGAGGCAGCAGUGGGGAAUGUUGGACAAUGGGGGCAACCCUGAUCCAGCCGUUCCGCGUGAGUGAAGAAGGCCUUCGGGUUGUAAAGCUCUUUUGUCCGGGAAGAAACGGUUUUGGCUAAUAACCAAGACUACUGACGGUACCGGAAGAAUAAGGCCCGGCUAACUACGUGCCAGCCGCCGCCGUAACAC
rnacentral:rRNA from 1 species